UCAGAGUGAACGCUGGCGGCAGGCCUAACACAUGCAAGUCGAACGGCAGCACAGUAAGAGCUUGCUCUUAUGGGUGGCGAGUGGCGGACGGGUGAGGAAUACAUCGGAAUCUACUCUUUCGUGGGGGAUAACGUAGGGAAACUUACGCUAAUACCGCAUACGACCUACGGGUGAAAGCGGAGGACCUUCGGGCUUCGCGCGAUUGAAUGAGCCGAUGUCGGAUUAGCUAGUUGGCGGGGUAAAGGCCCACCAAGGCGACGAUCCGUAGCUGGUCUGAGAGGAUGAUCAGCGACACUGGAACUGAGACACGGUCCAGAGUCCUACGGGAGGCAGCAGUGGGGAAUAUUGGACAAUGGGCGCAAGCCUGAUCCAGCCAUGCCGCGUGGGUGAAGAAGGCCUUCGGGUUGUAAAGCCCUUUUGUUGGGAAAGAAAAGCAGUCGGUUAAUACCCGAUUGUUCUGACGGUACCCAAAGAAUAAGCACCGGCUAACUUCGUGCCAGCAGCCGCGGUAAUACGAAGGGUGCAAGCGUUACUCGGAAUUACUGGGCGUAAAGCGUGCGUAGGUGGUGGUUUAAGUCUGUUGUGAAAGCCCUGGGCUCAACCUGGGAAUUGCAGUGGAUACUGGGUCACUAGAGUGUGGUAGAGGGUAGCGGAAUUCCCGGUGUAGCAGUGAAAUGCGUAGAGAUCGGGAGGAACAUCAGUGGCGAAGGCGGCUACCUGGACCAACACUGACACUGAGGCACGAAAGCGUGGGGGAGCAAACAGGAUUAGAUACCCUGGUAGUCCACGCCCUAAACGAUGCGAACUGGAUGUUGGGUGCAAUUUGGCACGCAGUAUCGAAGCUAACGCGUUAAGUUCGCCGCCUGGGGAGUACGGUCGCAAGACUGAAACUCAAAGGAAUUGACGGGGGCCCGCACAAGCGGUGGAGUAUGUGGUUUAAUUCGAUGCAACGCGAAGAACCUUACCUGGUCUUGACAUCCACGGAACUUUCCAGAGAUGGAUUGGUGCCUUCGGGAACCGUGAGACAGGUGCUGCAUGGCUGUCGUCAGCUCGUGUCGCGAGAUGUUGGGUUAAGUCCCGCACCCGAGCGCAACCCUUGUCCUUAGUUGCCAGCACGUAAUGGUGGGAACUCUAAGGAGACCGCCGGUGACAAACCGGAGGAAGGUGGGGAUGACGUCAAGUCAUCAUGGCCCUUACGACCAGGGCUACACACGUACUACAAUGGUAGGGACAGAGGGCUGCAAACCCGCGAGGGCAAGCCAAUCCCAGAAACCCUAUCUCAGUCCGGAUUGGAGUCUGCAACUCGACUCCAUGAAGUCGGAAUCGCUAGUAAUCGCAGAUCAGCAUUGCUGCGGUGAAUACGUUCCCGGGC
rnacentral:rRNA from 1 species